UUUUGGGGUGAAGUCCCCUGAAGGUCAGGGGAUAAACUUGGUAGGUAGACCAACAAAGAGGAAAACAAAAAUUGGGUGCAAGCUGGUGUUCAUGACUACUAAACAAAAUUAGGAGUUUCAGGAAAACCUUUUACAGGAUUAGACUGCAGGCUUGUCUCUGAUCACCACUGUGACAGCCAGUGUGCCCACCUGCUCCCACCCUCCACUCUCCCUCCCCUCCUCCACUCCCCUACCUCUCCCUCCCCCUACCUCCCCCCUCUCUGUCCUCAUACCCCCACCCCAGACUGCUCAGGUGAAUCCCAUCUUUGUCAGACUAGUUCCUAAGCUAUGGCUGCAAAGAUUGGAAUUAGAGCGGGGAGGAGCCGAGAGGGCCAGGGACUGCUGUGUCAGAUUUACUCUGAGAGCUACCGGCAGAACAGUGAGGAAUAGAUCUGGAGGGUUAAAGAAAAGGGUGAGAGAGACAAGAGCCAGUGUGGGCUGGGUCUGGAAAAUAAGAAAGAGGCUAAAGUCAGGAGUUUGAAAAGAAGCUGAAGAGGAAUGGGAUAGAGAGAGAUACGUUGUUAUGUGCUGCAUAGUUUUAACAUCUCAGUCAACAACAGACUGCAUGUGCGACUGUUGUCCCAUGAGUAUCAUGGAGCUGCCCUCUACAGGUGUACUAUUUUUUAUCUUUUAUACAGUAUUUUAACUGUACCUUUUCUAUGUUUAGACCACAUAUAUUCACCAUUGUGUUACAACUGCCUACAGUGUUCAGUACAGUUACCUGCUGUACAGGUUUGCAGCCUAGGAGCACUAGGCUGUGGCCAGAGUGUUUAGUAGGCUAUGCCAUCUAGGUUUGUGUAAGUAAACUCUGUGAUGUUCACACAACAAAAUUGCUUAAUGACACAUUUCUCAGAACAUGUCCGCAUUGUUAAGCAAUGCAUGACUGCAUAUGAUCCCCAACCUAGGGUGGUUUGAUUCAUGACUUUUUGACUUACAAUGACAUGAUAGCAAUAUACAUUCAGUAGAAAUUGUACUUCAAGUUCACAUACAACCAUGCUCUUUCUCACUUUCGAUAUCAUAUUCAAUAAAUUACAUGAGGUAUUCAACACUAGAUUAUAAAAUAGACUUUGGGUUAGAUGUUCUUGCCCAACUGUAGGCUAAAGUAAAUGUUCUGAAUAUGUUUAAGGUAAGCUAAGCUAGGAUGUUCAGUAGGUUAGAUAUAUCGAAUGCAUUUUGAUUUAUAAUAUUUUCAACUUACCAUAGGUUUACUAUUACAUGAUAGUAUGACAUACUGUCAUAAGUCAAGGAGCAUCUGGUGGGGUGAGAAGAGAGAGAGAAACAGAGGCUUUUAAGUUUGAGAGGCCAGGCAAAGGUGGCUCACGCCUGUAAUCCCAGCAUGAUCGCCUGAGCUCAGGAGUUUGAGACCAGCCUUGGCAACAUGGCAAAACCCUGUUUCUACCAAAAAUAUUUUAAAAAUUAGCCAGGCAUGGUGGUGUACACCUGCAGUCCCAGCUACUCGGGAGGCUGAGGUGGGAGGAUGGCUUGAGACUGGGAGGUGGAGGCUGCAGUGAACCACGAUUGUGCCACCACACUCCAGCCUGGGCAACAGAGCAAGACCCUGUCUCAAAAAUAAAUAAACAAACAAACUUAGUACCAUACUCCCUGCCUCUCUGUAGAACCUCUUCUCUGAAGGGGAAUCGUUCUCAUUUAGUGAUAUCCACAUGUUCCUUGCACCCUGGCUUCAAGAACACCUAGGGUGAAUGCAAGUGCCCCUUAAUCAUUUUCAGAAGGAAUCCAAAGUACUAUAGAUUCAAGGGAUCACUGUUCACCCUUGUUUUCGAAUCAGUUUAGGAAAACUGUGCACGGUACCCCUACACACAGAUGCAUACACACACACACACACACACACACACACACUUAAAGAUUCACAGUGAAUUUUUUUUUUCUUGAGGGUCUUGCUCUGUUGCCCAGGUGGGAGUGCAGUGCCAUGAUCACGGCUCACUGCAGCCUUGACCUCCCAGGCUCUGGCGAUCCUCCCACCUCAGCCC
rnacentral:lncRNA from 1 species